rnacentral:rRNA from 1 species
AUUGAACGCUGGCGGCAGGCUUAACACAUGCAAGUCGAGCGGAGUGAUGGUGCUUGCACUAUCACUUAGCGGCGGACGGGUGAGUAAUGCUUAGGAAUCUGCCUAUUAGUGGGGGACAACAUCUUGAAAGGGAUGCUAAUACCGCAUACGUCCUACGGGAGAAAGCAGGGGAUCACUUGUGACCUUGCGCUAAUAGAUGAGCCUAAGUCGGAUUAGCUAGUUGGUGGGGUAAAGGCCUACCAAGGCGACGAUCUGUAGCGGGUCUGAGAGGAUGAUCCGCCACACUGGGACUGAGACACGGCCCAGACUCCUACGGGAGGCAGCAGUGGGGAAUAUUGGACAAUGGGGGGAACCCUGAUCCAGCCAUGCCGCGUGUGUGAAGAAGGCCUUAUGGUUGUAAAGCACUUUAAGCGAGGAGGAGGCUCUUUUGGUUAAUACCCAGAAUGAGUGGACGUUACUCGCAGAAUAAGCACCGGCUAACUCUGUGCCAGCCGCCGCUGUAA